rnacentral:rRNA from 1 species
UACGUAGGGUGCGAGCGUUGUCCGGAAUUAUUGGGCGUAAAGAGCUCGUAGGCGGUCUGUUGCGUCUGCUGUGAAAACCCGGGGCUUAACCCUGGGCUUGCAGUGGAUACGGACAGACUAGAGGUAGGUAGGGGAGAAUGGAAUUCCCGGUGUAGCGGUGAAAUGCGCAGAUAUCGGGAGGAACACCGGUGGCGAAGGCGGUUCUCUGGGCCUUACCUGACGCUGAGGAGCGAAAGCGUGGGGAGCGAACAGG